GGCUGGUCUGACUGCAGUGGUGUUUAUAAUUAAUUGAUCACAUCCAGUUACAGAUUUCUUUGUUCCUUAUCCACUCCUACCUCAUUUGACUAGCCUUAA
rnacentral:Y_RNA from 1 species